AAGGACCUGGGAUAACGGGGAAACUCCUGCCUGGGAGAUCAGGAAUCAUCUCCAGAGCUCAGCAGAGCCACAGAGCUGCCACUGAAGCCAGGACCCGUCAGAUGGGGCAGAUUUAGGUCAGGAACAGAGCAGUGACUCCAAACAGGUUUGGAUCCCUCCCUUUGAUGGCUCUGGCACUUCCCAGGUGAUGGAGAGCUUUCCCAUGGAUUUCUGCUAAGGACAAGAUGAGAACAUUUAAAAGCCUGGUGAGGAAGAGCCCGGCAGCAAUCCCGGAGCUGGCUGGGGAGGAAGGAGCCAGCAGAGCUGGGAGUGAUUGGCAGCACACGGAUCAACAAAGGAGCUCGGAAUCACGAUGCACGGAGGCUUUUCCCUCUGUUGACUGUGGUUUGCUGUCAAUCUCUUGCUCUUCCUGAGGCUGGGAAGAGACUCCAGGCGUUCUCUCCAUGGGAUCUGUCUGUCCUCAGCAGCUUUUGUAACCCGAGGAUUGUGUUGGGUUGGUUUGAUCCCGCACUUGAAAGCCAUCCUGUGAUAUCCUAAAGUUCUGAAUAUCCAUAAAUUAAUGAGAGUGGGAAAUAGGAGAACUUCCAGCUCACAGCUCCUCUCUGCGUGUUUCAGUCCUUUCAUUUAACUGGGUGAGGUAAAAUUCACAUUAUAAUUACAGCUGCAUGAGAGAAAACUCUGAAAGAGCUUUCCUUGAGCUUCCCCAAAUAAAUCCCAGGG